rnacentral:rRNA from 1 species
AUUGAACGCUGGCGGCAGGCCUAACACAUGCAAGUCGAACGAGUGGCGGACGGGUGAGUAAUGUCUGGGAAAAUGCCUGAUGGAGGGGGAUAACUACUGGAAACGGUAGCUAAUACCGCAUACCAUCAGAUGGGCCCAAAUGGGAUUAGCUAGUUGGUGGGGUAAAGGCUCACCAAGGCGACGAUCCCUAGCUGGUCUGAGAGGAUGAAAAGGCACACUGGAACUGAGACACGGCCCAGAUUCCUACGGGAGGCAGCAGUGGGGAAUAUUGCACAAUGGGCGCAAGCCUGAUGCAGCCAUGCCGCGUGUAUGAAGAAGGCCUUCGGGUUUUAAAGUACUUUCAGCGGGGAGGCGUUACCCGCAGAAGAAGCACCGGCUAACUCCGUGCCAGCAGCCGCGGUAAUUC